rnacentral:rRNA from 1 species
AAAUUGAAGAGUUUGAUCAUGGCUCAGAUUGAACGCUGGCGGCAGGCCUAACACAUGCAAGUCGAACGGUAACAGGAAGCAGCUUGCUGCUUCGCUGACGAGUGGCGGACGGGUGAGUAAUGUCUGGGAAACUGCCUGAUGGAGGGGGAUAACUACUGGAAACGGUGGCUAAUACCGCAUAACGUCGCAAGACCAAAGAGGGGGACCUUCGGGCCUCUUGCCAUCAGAUGUGCCCAGAUGGGAUUAGCUUGUUGGUGAGGUAAUGGCUCACCAAGGCGACGAUCCCUAGCUGGUCUGAGAGGAUGACCAGCCACACUGGAACUGAGACACGGUCCAGACUCCUACGGGAGGCAGCAGUGGGGAAUAUUGCACAAUGGGCGCAAGCCUGAUGCAGCCAUGCCGCGUGUAUGAAGAAGGCCUUCGGGUUGUAAAGUACUUUCAGCGGGGAGGAAGGUGUUGUGGUUAAUAACCGCAGCAAUUGACGUUACCCGCAGAAGAAGCACCGGCUAACUCCGUGCCAGCAGCCGCGGUAAUACGGAGGGUGCAAGCGUUAAUCGGAAUUACUGGGCGUAAAGCGCACGCAGGCGGUCUGUCAAGUCGGAUGUGAAAUCCCCGGGCUCAACCUGGGAACUGCAUU